ensembl:lncRNA VAV3-AS1 VAV3 antisense RNA 1
ACGCAGAGUAGGUGAAGGGCACCCUAAGACAACUUAUUUCUUUCCCGCCUCACAGAAAGCCUUUACGAAAUCCUCACACCAUCUCCGGACGCAAAGCUUUCGCAUUCAGCUUGAGGAGCUAAACCAUUUCAAGCCAAGACCUCUCUCCUUGAAGACAAAGUGUUGAUAUCAACUCCACCUUCAAGUCUCUCAAGCAGAACUAGAUGCUGUUUCUUCAAUGUUUCCACAUCUUCUUGUUCACAUGUGUCUAAGACACUUGCGUACUACAUUGUAAGCCAUUUUUACUAUGAAGAAGAUUGUAAGCUCAAUUACGGGCUUUACUGCGCUGAUAACGAACACAGAUAUGAGACAAGCAGACUUGAGCUCCUGCCUCGAGGAUGGUGAGCAAAGAGCCUAAGCAAAACUGAGAGGAAAUGAAACACAAAGAGGAAACAGAAAGUUGAAGAAUGUUGACUGGAUUGUCUGCAAAUCAGUCAUGUGAGUAGUGUUAAUCUAAUGAAGAAGAAUCUUAAAAGACAAAUUCUCCAAAUGCUGCUGCUCCUGCAUCCUGCUGCUCUACCUGCUGUGGGGAGGAGGCAUUGGGAAUUAGUGUUAAACAAGACACAAAAUGUGUGCUCUCAGGAAGAUCAUAUGCCAGUGCAGAGAGAUGAUAAACACGAAAUCCAAUAAAUACACAGUUUGUGCCAUGAAGAAAAUAAAACAAGCUGAUGAAAU